GAACGCUAGCGGCAGGCUUAACACAUGCAAGUCGAGGGCAGCGCGGGAGUAGCAAUACUUCUGGCGGCGACCGGCGGAAGGGUGCGUAACGCGUGAGCAACAUUCCCGCAUCUGGGGGAUAAGCACUGGAAACGGUGUCUAAUACCCCAUAACAACGGAUUCCACAUGGAGACCGUUUGGAAGCUGCGACGGAUGCGGAUUGGCUCGCGUGACAUUAGCUAGUCGGCGGGGUAACGGCCCACCGAGGCGACGAUGUCUAGGGGUUCUGAGAGGAAGGUCCCCCACACUGGAACUGAGACACGGUCCAGACUCCUACGGGAGGCAGCAGUGAGGAAUAUUGGUCAAUGGGCGGAAGCCUGAACCAGCCAUGCCGCGUGAAGGAAUAAGGCCCUAUGGGUCGUAAACUUCUUUUGUGGUGGAGCAACAAGGGCUACGCGUAGUCCGAUGAGAGUACAUCACGAAUAAGCAUCGGCUAACUCCGUGCCAGCAGCCGCGGUAAUACGGAGGAUGCAAGCGUUAUCCGGAUUUAUUGGGUUUAAAGGGUGCGUAGGCUGUGCCGCAAGUCGGGGGUGAAAGCCCGGGGCCCAACCCCGGAACUGCCCUUGAUACUGCGGCGCUGGAGUUCGGAUGCCGUGGGAGGAAUGAGUAGUGUAGCGGUGAAAUGCAUAGAUAUUACUCAGAACACCGAUUGCGAAGGCAUCUCACGAAUCCGACACUGACGCUGAGGCACGAAAGCGUGGGGAUCAAACAGGAUUAGAUACCCUGGUAGUCCACGCAGUAAACGAUGAUGACUAACUGUCGGCGAUAAA
rnacentral:rRNA from 1 species